UACGAAGGGGGGCUAGCGUUGUUCGGAAUUACUGGGCGUAAAGCGUGCGCAGGCGGCUUCUCAAGUCAGGGGUGAAAGCCCAGAGCUCAACUCUGGAAUUGCCUUUGAGACUGAGAGGCUUGAGUACGGGAGAGGUGAGUGGAAUUCCCAGUGUAGAGGUGAAAUUCGUAGAUAUUGGGAAGAACACCGGUGGCGAAGGCGGCUCACUGGCCCGAAACUGACGCUCAUGCACGACAGCGUGGGGAUCAAACAGG
rnacentral:rRNA from 1 species